rnacentral:rRNA from 1 species
CCUACGGGAGGCAGCAGUGAGGAAUAUUGCACAAUGGGGGAAACCCUGAUGCAGCGACGCCGCGUGAGUGAAGAAGUAAUUCGUUAUGUAAAGCUCUAUCAGCAGGGAAGAAAAUGACGGUACCUGAGUAAGAAGCCCCGGCUAACUCCGUCCCAGCAGCCGCGGUAACACGUAGGGGGCAAGCGUUAUCCGGAUUUACUGGGGGUAAAGGGAGCGUAGACGGCAGUGCAAGUCUGGAGUGAAAGGCGGGGGCUCAACCCCCGGACUGCUCUGGAAACUGUGAGGCUGGAGUUAAGGAGAGGUAAGUGGAAUUCCUGGUGUAGCGGUGAAAUGCGUAGAUAUUAGGAGGAACACCAGUGGCGAAGGCGGCUUACUGGACUGUAACUGACGUUGAGGCUCGAAGGCGUGGGGAGCAAACAGGAUUAGAUACCCGGGUAGUC